rnacentral:rRNA from 20 species
CCUGGCGGCACUAGCGCGGUGGUCCCACCUGACCCCAUGCCGAACUCAGAAGUGAAACGCCGUAGCG